rnacentral:rRNA from 1 species
GACGAACGCUGGCGGCGUGCUUAACACAUGCAAGUCGAACGGAAAGGCCCUGCUUUUGUGGGGUGCUCGAGUGGCGAACGGGGGAGUAACACGUGAGUAACCUGCCCUUGACUUUGGGAUAACUUCAGGAAACUGGGGCGAAUACCGGAUAGGAGCUCCUGCUGCAUGGUGGGGGUUGGAAAGUUUCGGCGGUUGGGGAUGGAUUCGCGGCUUAUCAGCUUGUUGGUGGGGUAGUGACUUACCAAGGGUUUGACGGGUAGCCGGCCUUGGAGGGUGAACGGCCACCUUGGGCCUGCGGGAGGCCGCAGACUCCUACGGGCGGCAGCAGUGGGGAAUAUUGCACAAUGGGCGGAAGCCUGAUGCAGCAACGCCGCGUGCGGAAUGACGGCCUUCGGGUUGUAAACCGAUUUCGCCUGUGACGAAGCGUGAGUGACGGUAAUGGGUAAAGAAGCACCGGCUAACUACGUG